GCGGAAAGCGCGCGCCAGCUGCACGCAGGGAAACAGUUCUCAUUUUGUGUGCUCGGCUGACUGCACGUCCAGCCUCGGGCCAGCUCGAGACGGCCACAUUGCCUGGUUGAAGAUGGCUGAGCGUAAAACAGAAUGCAAGUCAGCUGGAGCACGUACUACUGGAGGCAGAGCCCCAUGAGAAGGGGCCAAGAACCCGCACCCAUCAAAAUCAAGAAGAAAGGCUGAACCCGGAGAGAAAAGGGAGCAACUGAUGUUGCCAUGCAGAUCCCUUGGUUGCUAUGAGAUGGUAACAUCACUCUGCCCCACCAUUGGCCAGUGCCUCCUCAGCUGCGGUGCCUCCCAGGCUGUGUGGUUCUCACGCGGGCCACUGACACAGAGCUGUUACUAUGGUGAACUUUACAAUUUCCUUUGAUUGGUGGAUUUCAGAAAUAGGCCAUCAGCGGAAUUCAUUAUAUUCAGCUAACCUGGCUCAGCUUCUCAGCUUCUCAGGUGGAUUGGUGAGUCCUGGCCAAUUACGCUUCAGCUCAUCUCUACUCUCAGCAAAUAGGAAAAGGGAGUGAAGGACUGAGUUUUAACUCUUCUAAUUUCGUAACCUGACUCU
rnacentral:lncRNA from 1 species